AAAUUGAAGAGUUUGAUCAUGGCUCAGAUUGAACGCUGGCGGCAGGCCUAACACAUGCAAGUCGAACGGUAACAGGAAGCAGCUUGCUGCUUCGCUGACGAGUGGCGGACGGGUGAGUAAUGUCUGGGAAACUGCCUGAUGGAGGGGGAUAACUACUGGAAACGGUGGCUAAUACCGCAUAACGUCGCAAGACCAAAGAGGGGGACCUUCGGGCCUCUUGCCAUCAGAUGUGCCCAGAUGGGAUUAGCUAGUUGGUGAGGUAACGGCUCACCAAGGCGACGAUCCCUAGCUGGUCUGAGAGGAUGAC
rnacentral:rRNA from 1 species